AGGACGAACGCUGGCGGCGUGCUUAACACAUGCAAGUCGAACGAGGCCCUACCUUCGGGUAGGUGACCUAGUGGCGAACGGGUGAGUAACACGUGGGCAACCUACCCUCAGCUCUGGGAUAACCCCGGGAAACCGGAGCUAAUACCGGAUAUGACCUUGAACGACACCGUUCUUGGUGGAAAGUUUUUCGGCUGAGGAUGGGCCCGCGGCCUAUCAGCUUGUUGGCGGGGUAAUGGCCCACCAAGGCGACGACGGGUAGCCGGCCUGAGAGGGCGAUCGGCCACACUGGGACUGAGACACGGCCCAGACUCCUACGGGAGGCAGCAGUGGGGAAUAUUGCGCAAUGGGCGAAAGCCUGACGCAGCGACGCCGCGUGAGGGAUGAAGGCCUUCGGGUUGUAAACCUCUUUCAGCAGGACGAAGCGAAAGUGACGGUACCUGCAGAAGAAGCACCGGCCAACUACGCGCCAGCAGCCGC
rnacentral:rRNA from 1 species